rnacentral:rRNA from 1 species
UGGGGAAUUUUGGACAAUGGGGGAAACCCUGAUCCAGCCAUUCCGCGUGUGCGAUGAAGGCCUUCGGGUUGUAAAGCACUUUUGGCAGGAAAGAAAUCGCAUGGAUUAAUACUCUGUGCGGAUGACGGUACCUGCAGAAUAAGCACCGGCUAACUACGUGCCAGCAGCCGCGGUAAUACGUAGGGUGCAAGCGUUAAUCGGAAUUACUGGGCGUAAAGCGUGCGCAGGCGGUUCGGAAAGAAGGAUGUGAAAUCCCAGGGCUUAACCUUGGAACUGCAUUCUUAACUACCGGGCUAGAGUGUGUCAGAGGGAGGUGGAAUUCCGCGUGUAGCAGUGAAAUGCGUAGAUAUGCGGAGGAACACCGAUGGCGAAGGCAGCCUCCUGGGACAACACUGACGCUCAUGCACGAAAGCGUGGGGAGCAAACA